rnacentral:rRNA from 1 species
UGGCGGACGGGUGAGUAACGCGUGGGUAACCCGCCCUGUACAGGGGGAGUAACAGUCAGAAAUGACUGCUAAUACCGCAUAAGACCACAGCACCGCAUGGUGCAGGGGUAAAAACUCCGGUGGUACAGGAUGGACCCGCGUCUGAUUAGCUGGUUGGUGAGGUAACGGCUCACCAAGGCGACGAUCAGUAGCCGGCUUGAGAGAGUGAACGGCCACAUUGGGACUGAGACACGGCCCAAACUCCUACGGGAGGCAGCAUG